rnacentral:lncRNA from 1 species
AUGCUGAGCUCCAGGGAAUGUCAGGGAGAUGCCAGCAGAGCAGAGCCAGGGUUAUUUGGGGAACAGGACGGUCAGAAAUCGAGUUGGAGCCGUUUCACAAUGCCAGAGAGGCUCGGGAUUUGUUUACAGAGCCCGAUGACAGCGGCUCAGCACCGAGGGAAAAUGAGGAAUGAUGCAAGACGGCAGGAAUGGACAGUGGGAGACGGCAGCAUGGAAUCCUCACGGAAAAAAACUCUUCUGAGUGCUCAUAAAACAUCCCCGGGGACAAGAGGUGAGCAAACGACCCUGGAGGAGAGGCAGGGGGGAAUGGCUGCAGCGUUUCGUAAUCGGGUCUCGAUUUGUGAUUAACAGCUCAGCUCUCUGGCCUGUAACCGCUUUUCCUCUCCCGAUGUUGCCGGAAGACUCCAGGAAAAUCCCUCCACGGCCUGGGAAGAAGAGCAGGCAACAUUGACACCUGCUGUCGGGAAUUUUAAUAGCCACACACUCCAGCAGAGCCGAGAGCAUGAAAACAGCCAAUAAAAACCCGAGCUGAAACA